CGUCAAACAGCUUCCUCCACAAACAUCCGCCUGCUUCAGCCUUGCGGCAUCCGCCAGCUUCCGAAUGCGAAAUCCACUGGCUUCCAUACACACUGCCAGCUUCCGCUAGGUCCAUCGCUAGACAUCAACCAGCUUCAGAGAUGACCAGAGGAGAUGCGAGAAGGAAAGACAUCAGCUGGAAAAUCUGGGGGAAGCUGAGCUGCACUGGAUGCUGUUGGGAAGUAAGGAGCAGAUGGUGUCUCACCCUCCUGACCAGGGAGAAGCCCUGAGAGCUGGCAAGGCAUGAUUUGAACCCAGGUCCUCUUCAAAGCCUAGAUGCUGAGCUCUUAGAUUGCACUGAGGCUCUUCAAAGUUGUCAUUGAUGGAUCCUGAAGCAAGUUCCUCACCAGCCCCAGCAGGCAUAUUACAAAUAAAAGAGCUUUCCA